rnacentral:rRNA from 1 species
UUUAUUGGAGAGUUUGAUCCUGGCUCAGGAUGAACGCUGGCGGCGUGCCUAAUACAUGCAAGUCGAGCGAAUGGAUUAAGAGCUUGCUCUUAUGAAGUUAGCGGCGGACGGGUGAGUAACACGUGGGUAACCUGCCCAUAAGACUGGGAUAACUCCGGGAAACCGGGGCUAAUACCGGAUAACAUUUUGAACUGCAUGG